UACAGAGGUCUCAAGCGUUGUUCGGAUUUAUUGGGCGUAAAGGGUGCGUAGGUGGCAAAGUAAGUUGGAUGUGAAAUCCUGGGGCUCAACCUCAGAAUUGCAUUCAAUACUGCUUAGCUAGAGAGCUGUAGAGGAGACUGGAAUUUACGGUGUAGCAGUGAAAUGCGUAGAUAUCGUAAGGAACGCCAGUGGCGAAAGCGAGUCUCUGGGCAGCAUCUGACACUGAGGCACGAAGGCCAGGGGAGCAAACGGG
rnacentral:rRNA from 1 species